AACGAACGCUGGCGGCGUGCUUAACACAUGCAAGUCGAACGCGAAAGGGACUUCGGUCCUGAGUAAAGUGGCGCACGGGUGAGUAACGCGUAGAUAACCUGUCUUCGUGUCUGGAAUAAUACGCCGAAAGGUGUACUAAUACCGGAUAUUCUUGCUUUAUAUAAGUUUUGCAAGCAAAGGUGGCCUCUGCAUAUGCUACCGCAUGAAGAGGGGUCUGCGUACCAUUAGCUAGUAGGUAGGGUAAGGGCCUACCUAGGCGACGAUGGUUAGCGGGUCUGGGAGGAUGAUCCGCCACACUGGCACUGGAACACGGGCCAGACUCCUACGGGAGGCAGCAGUGAGGAAUAUUGCGCAAUGGGGGCAACCCUGACGCAGCGACGCCGCGUGAGUGAGGAAGGCCUUCGUGUCGUAAAGCUCUGUCAAGAGGAAAGAAGUGCAUGGUGGUUAAUACCCGCCAUGUUUGACGGUACCUCUAAAGGAAGCACCGGCUAACUCCGUGCCAGCCGCCGCAGUAA
rnacentral:rRNA from 1 species